AGUCCCGGGCGAGAGCGCACCAAAGUGCAAAUUUGGAGCAGCACCCAAGAAGGUGCCGGGGCUU
rnacentral:tRNA from 1 species